rnacentral:rRNA from 1 species
UGGGGAAUUUUGGACAAUGGGCGAAAGCCUGAUCCAGCAAUGCCGCGUGUGUGAAGAAGGCCUUCGGGUUGUAAAGCACUUUUGUCCGGAAAGAAAUCCUUGGCUCUAAUACAGUCGGGGGAUGACGGUACCGGAAGAAUAAGCACCGGCUAACUACGUGCCAGCAGCCGCGGUAAUACGUAGGGUGCAAGCGUUAAUCGGAAUUACUGGGCGUAAAGCGUGCGCAGGCGGUUUGCUAAGACCGAUGUGAAAUCCCCGGGCUCAACCUGGGAACUGCAUUGGUGACUGGCAGGCUAGAGUAUGGCAGAGGGGGGUAGAAUUCCACGUGUAGCAGUGAAAUGCGUAGAGAUGUGGAGGAAUACCGAUGGCGAAGGCAGCCCCCUGGGCCAAUACUGACGCUCAUGCACGAAAGCGUGGGGAGCAAACAGGAUUAGAUACCCUGGUAGUCCACGCCCUAAACGAUGUCAACUAGUUGUUGGGGAUUCAUUUCCUAGUAACGUAGCUAACGCGUGAAGUUGACCGCCUGGGGGAGUACGGUCGCAAGAUUAAAACUCAAAUGAAUUGACGGGGUCAUAGCUGUUUCCU